UCCACUUCAGAUGAGUAUUGGACAAAAUGCUCUUCAAGGUCCCUGCCAUAUCUAAAAUUCUGGGAGUUAAAAACUGGACAUUCCUUUGCCCUGUGGUGCUCAACUUUCUCAGGUUCUCAGAUGCCACUUAACUAGGGGACUUCUGCUAGACAAGCUCCUCACCUUUUCAGUGCUGCCUCUCAGCAGCUAGAGUAUUUAAAACAAACUCUCCUUCACUCUGAAGAAUCCAUCCAGCUGGCCACUAGGGAGGGUGGAGAGAGCCAUGGCUGGAUCACUCAACAAAGCAAAUAUUAAAUGUCCUAGCCACUGAGUUUCACCCAGAGGAACAGAACUACUUGAAGCUAUUCCAGAUAUCUACAAGGAAUGACUGGCACUGUGGAAACUUACCAUAUCCACCCUCCACACACACACACCAUCAAGGCUGAGAACUUUAGAGCCAGGAGGCACCUAAAAGAUCAUCUUGUCCAGUCUCCCCCACCCAUCCAUUUUACCUUAUUUUUAAAGGUCAGGCUCUUCGUGCCUUCUGGAGCAAAAACUGGAUAAUCUAAGCUAAUGUAAGAAGACUAAAGAGAAUCCAGCAGUCUUC